rnacentral:rRNA from 1 species
UACGUAGGGUGCGAGCGUUGUCCGGAAUUAUUGGGCGUAAAGAGCUUGUAGGCGGUUUGUCGCGUCUGCUGUGAAAAUCCGGGACUCAACCCCGGACCUGCAGUGGGUACGGGCAGACUAGAGUGUGGUAGGGGAGACUGGAAUUCCUGGUGUAGCGGUGAAAUGCGCAGAUAUCAGGAGGAACACCGAUGGCGAAGGCAGGUCUCUGGGCCGAUAUUGACGCUGAGGAGCGAAAGCGUGGGGAGCAAACAGG